UACGUAGGGGGCAAGCGUUGUUCGGAUUUACUGGGCGUAAAGGGCGCGUAGGCGGCGCGUAAAGUCGGACAUGAAAUCAUUGGGCUUAACCCAAUGGCUGUGCCCGAUACUUGCGUGCUUAGAGUGCGGGAGAGGCAAUCGGAAUUCUCGGUGUAGCGGUGAAAUGCGUAGAUAUCGAGAGGAACUCCAGUGACGAAGGUGGGUUGCUGGACCGACACUGACGCUGAGGCGCGAAAGCUAGGGGAGCGAACCGG
rnacentral:rRNA from 1 species